AUUGAACGCUGGCGGCAGGCCUAACACAUGCAAGUCGAACGAGUGGCGGACGGGUGAGUAAUGUCUGGGAAAAUGCCCGAUGGAGGGGGAUAACUACUGGAAACGGUAGCUAAUACCGCAUACCAUCGGAUGUGCCCAGAUGGGAUUAGCUAGUAGGUUGGGUAAUGGCUCACCUAGGCGACGAUCCCUAGCUGGUCUGAGAGGAUGACCAGCCAAACUGGAACUGAGACACGGUCCAGACUACUACGGGAGGCAGCAGUGGGGAAUAUUGCACAAUGGGCGCAAGCCUGAUGCAGCCAUGCCGCGUGUAUGAAGAAGGCCUUCGGGUUGUAAAGUACUUUCAGCGGGGAGGCGUUACUCGCAGAAGAAGCACCGGCUAACUCCGUGCCAGCAGCCGCGGUAAUAC
rnacentral:rRNA from 1 species